rnacentral:rRNA from 1 species
GUAGCGAGGUUAACCGUUUAGGGGAGCCGUAGGGAAACCGAGUCUUAAUAGGGCGAAUUAGUCGCUAGGAGUAGACCCGAAACCGGGCGAUCUAUCCAUGGCCAGGGUGAAGGUGGGGUAAUACCUACUGGAGGCCCGAACCCACUUAUGUUGAAAAAUGAGGGGAUGAGCUGUGGAUCGGAGUGAAAGGCUAAACAAGCCCGGAGAUAGCUGGUUCUCCUCGAAAUCUAUUUAGGUAGAGCCUCGCAUAUCACUGUUGGGGGUAGAGCACUGUUACGGCUAGGGCCUCAUCCCGAGGUACCAACCCGUUGCAAACUCCGAAUACCAACAAGUGCAAUUGCGGGAGACACACUGCGGGUGAUAAGGUCCGUAGUGGAGAGGGAAACAGCCCAGACCGUCAGCUAAGGUCCCAAAAUGAUACUCAGUGGAAAACGAUGUGAAAAGGCACAGACAGCCAGGAGGUUGGCUUAGAAGCAGCCAUCCUUUAAAGAAAGCGUAAUAGCUCACUGGUCAAGUCGGUUUGCGCGGAAGAUUUAUCGGGGCUUAAGUAUCAUACCGAAGCUACGGAUGCGUGUUUACACGCAUGGUAGAGGAGCGUUCUGUACGCCUGUGAAGGUGAGUUGAGAAGCUUGCUGGAGGUAUCAGAAGUGCGAAUGCUGACAUGAGUAACGAUAAUGGGAGUGAAAAACUCCCACGCCGGAAACCCAAGGGUUCCUGUCCAACGUUAAUCGGGGCAGGGUUAGUCGGCCCCUAAGGCGAGGCUGAAAAGCGUAGUCGAUGGGAAGCAAGUUAAUAUUCUUGCACCUCUUUAUAAUGCGAUGGGGGGACGGAGAAGGCUAGGCCAGCACAGCGUUGGUUGUCUGUGUUUAAGGUGGUAGGCAGAGGACUUAGGCAAAUCCGGGUCCUUAAUGCCGAGAACUGAUGACGGUGACUCUACGGAGUCCGAAGUGGUCGAUGCCAUGCUUCCAGGAAAAGCCUCUAAGCUUCAGUUAUAAAGAGACCGUACCCCAAACCGACACAGGUGGGUAGGUAGAGAAUACCAAGGCGCUUGAGAGAACUCGGGUGAAGGAACUAGGCAAAAUGGCACCGUAACUUCGGGAGAAGGUGCGCCGGUUAGGGUGAAGGACUUGCUCCGUAAGCUCUGGCCGGUCGAAGAUACCAGGUGGCUGCGACUGUUUAUUAAAAACACAGCACUCUGCAAACACGAAAGUGGACGUAUAGGGUGUGACGCCUGCCCGGUGCCGGAAGGUUAAUUGAUGGGGUUAUCUUCGGAGAAGCUCUUGAUCGAAGCCCCGGUAAACGGCGGCCGUAACUAUAACGGUCCUAAGGUAGCGAAAUUCCUUGUCGGGUAAGUUCCGACCUGCACGAAUGGCGUAACGAUGGCCACACUGUCUCCACCCGAGACUCAGUGAAAUUGAAAUUGCGGUUAAGAUGCCGUAUACCCGCGGCUAGACGGAAAGACCCCGUGAACCUUUACUAUAGCUUCACAGUGAACUUUGAGCAUGUUUGUGUAGGAUAGCUGGGAGGCUUUGAAACCAGGACGCCAGUUCUGGUGGAGCCAACCUUGAAAUACCAGCCUGACCUGUUUGAGGUUCUAACUUCGACCCCUUAUCGGGGUUAAGGACACUGUGUGGUGGGUAGUUUGACUGGGGCGGUCUCCUCCCAAAGCGUAACGGAGGAGCACAAAGGUGGGCUAAGCAUGGUCGGACAUCAUGCGGUUAGUGUAAUGGCACAAGCCCGCUUAACUGCGAGACAGACACGUCGAGCAGGUACGAAAGUAGGUCAUAGUGAUCC